AUGUGUAACUCCUGGGAUAUAUGUCAAGAAACUUGGAAUGAAGGAGCGUGUGGUUUUUCUCAUUCAUUCAUUCAUUUAUUCAUUCACCUGCUCCCUCCUUUGUUCGUCCACAGCUGUGGGCACCAUCCCAUAUGUGCUGGCACUGUUUCGGGAGCUGGGGAUGUAGUCGGAAGCAGGAGCGAUGCCGUCCUUGCUGCAGGAAGCUCUUCUCGUGGGCAGCAGUGUUCUGAAGAUGUGGAAACGAACCAGGCUCCCAGAGGAGCAGCAUGCUGCGGAGGUCACGUCGCGGCCCAGACCUUCCCUUCCGUUCAGCAGAAUUUGCACGGUGAACAAAUCUGGAGAAUUUGGAGAAACUUCUGGAAGAAGAACCAGUGUGAAACCAUCUCUCCUCACUGGGAGCUCUGGGAAGCUGUAAAGCUGCUGCAGAAUUUCCCAGGAUUUCCCCUUCCCCUUAUGUUGACAUGUUCCCUCCUUUUGGGUGGUUUUCUUUACAUCAAAAUCGGGUCUCUCGCUAGCUUUUUUUUUUUUUUUUAAUUCUCGCUAGCUUUUAACUACCCUUGACCUUUCAAAAGUCUGAUAUAAACACAUUAUUAACCUUCUAAAAGCUGUUCUGCUACCAUUAUCGAUCACUCGGGGUUUAAGAACUUUCUAUUUUCACUGUCGAUUCUGGUCUCUGGGACCCUUCUGCCUGGCCUGUGUCUCUCUAGAAACUUCCAGAAGCAAUUCAACUCUUUAAUCCCUUUGCUGCCAGCUGAGUUGGUGCUCACCCCCCUCUGCUGAGUCUCCUUUGGAGAAGAGGGGACAGCAAAACAAAGAUUUCAGGAAUCAAAACCCAAAAUAGCAGCAGCAUCAGGAAAAACAAAACAAAACAAAACAAAACAAAACAAAACAUUCAGACAACCCCUAAACCAAAAACAUACAAGAAAAGAAAAAAAGUUAAGAGCACCCUUGGGGAAUCCCAGAGCGGAGAGAGGAUGAUGGCUGCAGCUUGGGCACGGCCGGGCCCAGAGGCUCCAAGGAGACGUAAACCAGAAGGAAAUUCAUUGCAAAUCCCGCUUACUUCUUCUCCAGCCAGCAGCUUGGUGGCAGGAGCAAAUGUCCUGGGGUACUGCACAGGGGUAGAAAAAGUCCUGCUAGGUGGCCCCAGAAUCAUGCAUAGGUGGAGCAACUGGCUGCCCCUCUACAUCUCAGCCUCCCUCCCCAACACCCCUUGCCUGGGGAUUAAAGCCUGGGGGCGCACUGCUUCUCCUGUCAGUAUAGCUUGGGCCCCUUGAGCUCCGGGUUGUGACUUCGAGCACCACGUUGGAUGUAGAAAUGGCUUAAAAACAAAAUCUUUAAACAAAAAUGAAAGAAAGAAGAAAAAAAAAAAAGCCUGGAAAGAUUGCCUCUUCCCAAGGACAUCUUGAGUCUAGAUUCUGAUAUUGGGAAAAUUUGCAGCAAAGGAGAGAGAAAUUGGGUGGUAGCCUGAGGGGAGAGUGGGGUAAGGGACAUUUCUUUUCUUUUUAAAAAAUUGUAUUUAUUUAUUUGACAGAGA
rnacentral:lncRNA from 12 species